AGGCGACGAUGCGUAGCCGACCUGAGAGGGUGAUCGGCCACACUGGGACUGAGACACGGCCCAGACUCCUACGGGAGGCAGCAGUAGGGAAUCUUCCGCAAUGGACGAAAGUCUGACGGAGCAACGCCGCGUGAGUGAUGAAGGUUUUCGGAUCGUAAAGCUCUGUUGUUAGGGAAGAACAAGUGCCGUUCAAAUAGGGCGGCACCUUGACGGUCCCUAACCAGAAAGCCACGGCUAACUACGUGCCAGCAGCC
rnacentral:rRNA from 1 species